UCCGUAGGUGAACCUGCGGAAGGAUCAUUACCUGGCCUUGGGCCGCUCGCGGGAGCUAGUCGCUUGCGACGACGCUGCCGAGGGUGCUUAGCCCUUGACUUAUCACCUUGACUAUGUGCACCUUUUGUUGUUUCCUCGGCAGGUCAUCUGCCGCCAGGAACCCUCUAAACCUUUUUGCAAACAGCAUCCAAACUUCUGAAAACAAACCAAAUUAUUUACAACUUUUAACAAUGGAUCUCUUGGUUCUGGCAUCGAUGAAGAACGCAGUGAAAUGCGAUAAGUAAUGUGAAUUGCAGAAUCUCGUGAAUCAUUGAAUCUUUGAACGCACAUUGCGCCCUAUGGUAUUCCGUAGGGCAUGCCUGUCUGAGCGUCAGCUCGUCUUCUCAAGCUCUUUUGCUUGGAUAACAUUGGAAUUGCAAUACACGCUCCAUCUGGAGUCUGUGUGCAAUCCAGAAAUAUAUAGGCGGUACGGUUCUAGCAAACCAGACGUAAUAAUAUUCUUAUAUCGUUAAUUUGUUGAAGCUGUUGCUUGCCUUUUAAUCCACAUCUUUCUCAAGAUGACCUCAGAUCAGGUAGGGAUACCCGGCUGAACUUAAGGCAUAUCAAUAAGGCGGGAGGGGAAGGUCGACUGGCCAAGGGCACACAGGGGGGGAUA
rnacentral:rRNA from 1 species